UAGUACGAGAGGACCGGAGUGGACGCAUCACUGGUGUUCGGGUUGUCAUGCCAAUGGCACUGCCCGGUAGCUAAAUGCGGAAGAGAUAAGUGCUGAAAGCAUCUAAGCACGAAACUUGCCCCGAGAUGAGUUCUCCCUGACUCCUUGAGAGUCCUGAAGGAACGUUGAAGACGACGACGUUGAUAGGCCGGGUGUGUAAGCGCAGCGAUGCGUUGAGCUAACCGGUACUAAUGAACCGUGAGGCUUAACCUUACAACGCCGAAGGUGUUU
rnacentral:rRNA from 1 species